UUGUGUGCUGUAACUCAGUUCUUAAAUACUAAGAUGGUGUCUUCAUGUUAAAAUGGAAUGUGCUAAUAAUUCAGAAUUUUAGAAACAAAAGGUUUUCUGUACAAUAUUUAAUUGGAUGAGGUAUAAAAGUGGAUGCAUCAGGACAUAUUUCAUUCUCUCAUAGUUAAAGUUACUCAUGCAACAUAUGUGUAAUGCGUCAUCACUCUAUAUAAUGCAGUUUUUCUCUCCAGAUAAAUAUUUAUAAUGAGAAAUGGUUUUUGAUUUAAUAAGCUCCAUAAAAACACCUGUUUCAGUUAAGUUUCUAUAAUUAAGUUUGUGUUCCCCAUGUUCCUUUGUCUGCUAUCGUUUGGAUUUGCUCCUUCUCUCCUGUGGAUUAUUAAUAUAACUCUUUGAUUAUACUCCGUCGUGCGCUUUGUUUUGCACACCACACCUAACUUUAGUGUAUAGUACUCUUUGUAAACAUUCCCCUCAACCGAGCUGUUAUAUAGUAUCUUUCUCAAGUGCUGAUAGCUGAUGUAUUUCCUCCUGUGAGGUGAAAACCAUCAACCAUUCGGUUACCACCCUAGAUAUUCUUCCACUAAGCUGCACCACCCAACCCCACCUCUAGAGGCACACCAUGAUUAUUUAAGCCUCAAGACUUUGCUAGUUCAUCCAUUCAUGAUGCAGUUGUGUUUAGCUCUCUUGUGUGUGUCAUUGCAAUGGCUUGAAACUAUGUGUCUUCAGGUAAACCAAAACCCUCUGGUGCUUAUUCUUCAAGCAGGGGAACCACUGAAAGUUGUCUGCUCCAUCACAGGCACUAAUAACCCGGACCUGUACUGGUACCGUUGGACCCCAACAGAUGGUUUCAAGCUGAUGUUCAGUUCUUUCAGUGCAGGAAGUGUGAGUCCAGCAAGCGUGGGGGAUUUUUCAUCCAACAGACCAGGGCUUCUUCAGAUAGUGCUGGAGUCCAAGAGUGUAACAGAUGUUGGUUCUGUUGUUUGGUUCUGUGCAGCCAGUCCCCACAGCAUAACACAUCACAAUGAAAGCUGUACAAAAACUCUCUACAGUACAAUUUAA
rnacentral:lncRNA from 1 species